rnacentral:misc_RNA from 1 species
UUAAGUUCAGCGGGUAUCCCUACCUGACUCGAGGUCAAGAGUGUAAAAAUGUACUUUUGGACGUCGUCGUUCUGAGUGCAAAGCGCGAGAUGUACUGCGCUCCGAAAUCAAUACGCCGGCUGCCAAUUGUUUUGAGGCGAGUCUGCGCGCAAAGGCGAGACAAACACCCAACACCAAGCAAGGCUUGAAGGUACAAAUGA